rnacentral:rRNA from 1 species
UACGAAGGGUGCAAACGUUGCUCGGAAUUAUUGGGCGUAAAGCGCACGUAGGCGGCUUAGCAAGUCGGAUGUGAAAUCCCUCGGCUCAACCAAGGAAGUGCAUCCGAAACUGCUGAGCUUGAGUACGAAAGAGGAUCGCGGAAUUCCCGGUGUAGAGGUGAAAUUCGUAGAUAUCGGGAGGAACACCAGUGGCGAAGGCGACUACCUGGCCUGUUCUUGACGCUGAGGCGCGAAAGCUAGGGGAGCAAACGGG